GGAGGGGUUCCCGAGCGGCCAAAGGGAGCAGACUGUAAAUCUGCCGUCAUUAGACUACGGAGGUUCAAAUCCCCCCCCCUCCACCA
rnacentral:tRNA from 1 species